CUCCAGUAACACCAUGUCAGGCUUAUCUAAAAGAUUUCCUAGAUGAAAGACCUUGAUCCAUCGCCUUUCAGGAUUCAGGACUUGGUUUUCUGUUCCAGGCAGUCUUUUCUGUUCCGAAUGGUUUCGCGAAAUGGAGGAGCCGAAGUAAAGU